UCCCUAGUCGAUAUUAUACUCAGUCUCUUCCAUCUUUCUAGAUUACAACCUUCAAAUUCUGACUGCUCUAGACCAGCAGCUCAAGAUGGAGAGGGCGUAAGCACAGCUCGAAUAUGUCCCUAAUGCCGCGCAUAGGGACGGGUGUGCCGACCAAAUGGCGUCUGCUGCAGGGGACACCCAGAUUUUAGAGGAAGAGGAGGAACUCGAUCUGCUUGACUGGUUUGGGGGCCUUGUUGAAUGCGGCAAUGAGUUCCUCAAACCACGGAGCCAGAGCGGAGGAGGUAUAUCACACAGCAUAGUUCGUGUACCUAGGGAGGUGGUUGCUGUGGCGGGAUCCGAGGGCACACGACCGCAAAGGCAUGCGG